CCCUGCUCUUCCCUUUCUUCUCCCUUUGCACAGUGACAAGGCAACAUGUAGGCCAUAAGUUUUCAGUACAAGGGAGGUCCCUCAGGGGACUGAAGAGCACUUCUGAAGAGCAUUUCGGAAGAGCAGAUGAUAGCAUAGCAAGGGAGAGCAAACUUCAAUCAAUGUUACACAUGAACUUACCUUCAUAGCAUAUAUUUUUUUCAAGAGCAAACAUGAAAAUGACUCUGUGCCACAGUAAACAUGGUCACAAGUCUGCCUGCUGGUUCAGAGUGCUGGCAGAGCAAGCUCACAUCUGCCUGUAAUCGUUG
rnacentral:lncRNA from 1 species